UCUUCAACUUUCUUCUUUGUUCUUGUGAAAUCUUCUCUCCCCCUUCCCUGAAUCUGCUCAAAGAUUUCGCUUUCUGUACGUUCUUUUAUCGCUUGUAAUCUACCCAGGUUUGGUUUCUUGGUCUCUUUCACUUUCUCUUAUUGAAUUCAUGUGGAACAAAUGAACAUACACUCUUUAAACAGCCGCUACGGAUAAGGUGUGUCAAGUGUUUGUUGAAAUUCCUGAAGGGGUUUUUAUUUGGUUGCCUGAAAUUAUACGAAGUUGUAGUUGUAGGGUAGGUGUUUGUUGAAUUGCCUGAAUGGGAUAUCGUUGGUUUACCUGAAGUGGUGUGUAGUGAUACCAUAAUAAGUUAAGGGAUUUGUUGAAUUGACUAGCUUGAAUGGCUUUUUCUUCUUGUGUAAGCUGUGACCCAUGGACUCUUCCUCAAAAUCUAAGGUACCCAUCUCUAGUUUUCACUCCUACAAAGCCCUCGAGCUUUGUUUCCUUCGCAUCCACUAAGCAGUACGAACAACUCACCACUUUAUCUUCUGAACAAGAAGUUCUUGAUGUCCUGCGGCACGAAAAUGAUGAAAACUCGGUGCUUGAUGUAUUUAAAUGGGCUUUGAAGCAACCAACUUUCGAACCCUCUUUGGGAAUUUAUGAGGAAAUGCUUAGAAAACUUGGACAAGUAGGUUCUGUCGAUUCGAUAAGAGGGGUAUUGGAUGAAAUGAAGCGAUCUUCGUGCAAGGUUGCUGAAGGUACUUUCUUUAUUUUGAUAGAAAGUUUCGCCAAGUUUGAUUUAUACGAUGAGGCUAUUUGUGUUCUAUUUAUAAUGGAAGAAGAGUUUGGAGUGAAGCCAGGCACAUAUAGUUAUAAUUUCUUGUUAAAUGUUCUUGUUGAUGGGAACAAGUUGAAGCUAGUCGAAGAUGUUCAUUCGUUAAUGUCUAGUAAAGGAGUUAGAAGGGAUGUUGCAACUUUCAAUAUCUUGAUAAAGGCUCUUUGUAAAGCCCAUCAAAUGAGGGCUGCAAUUUUGAUGAUGGAAGAGAUGCCUAGCCAUGGAUUGAUGCCCGAUGAGAAGACUUACACGACACUUAUGCAUGGUUAUAUUGAGGAAGGGAACUUGGAUGGUGCGCUAAGAAUCAGAGAAGAGAUGGUAUCGGCCCAAUGCCCAUCAACCAAUAUAACCGUCAACACUUUGAUUCAUGGAUUUUGCAAGGUUGGUCAAAUUUCAGAAGCUCUAAGUUUUGUUCAAGAGAUGUCAAAUGAGGGAUUCUAUCCUGAUCGGUUUACAUUCAACACUCUGGUUAAUGGUCUAUGCAAAGCAGGGCAUGUUAAGCAUGCUUUAGAGAUUUUGGAGGUAAUGCUUCAAGAGGGAUUUGAUCCUGACGUUUAUACAUACAACACGUUGAUUUCUGGAUUAUGUAAAUUGGGUAAAGUUGAAGAGGCCAAUAACAUCCUAAACCAAAUGCUUGAACGGGAUUGUUCUCCUAACACUGUCACAUACAACACUAUAAUUAGCGGUUUGUGUAAGGAAAACCAAAUCGAAGCAGCCACUGAACUUGCUCUUGUUUUGACAAGCAAGGGACUUUCGCCAGAUGUUUGUACGUUCAAUGCUCUAAUUCAAGGUCUUUGCUUAUCUAGCAAAUUUGAAACCGCACUGGAAGUGUUUGGAGACAUGAAAAACAAAGGAUGUCAACCGGAUGAGUUUACUUAUAAUAUGUUAAUUGAUUGGUAUUGUUCCAAAGGGAAACUAGAUGCAGCUUUGAAUCUACUGAAAGAAAUGGAAUCAAGUGGCUGCCCUCGAAACGUGAUAACCUACAAUACUCUUAUUGAUGGGUUUUGUAAAAACAAGAAAGUUGAAGAAGCAGGGGAAAUAUUUGAUCGAAUGGAGCUUCAGGGGAUCUCAAGGAACGUGGUGACUUAUAACACCCUUAUAGAUGGCCUUUGCAAGAACAGGCGGGCAGAGGAGGCAGCUGCGGUUAUGGACCAAAUGCUAAUCGAAGGAUUAAAACCUGAUAAAUUCACUUAUAAUUCCCUUCUUUCUCACUUUUGUAAAGCGGGUGAUAUCAAAAGAGCAACAGAUAUUGUUCAGGUUAUGAUUUCGAAUGGAUGUGAACCAGAUAUAGUCACUUAUGGUACUCUAAUUCAAGGGUUGUGUAAAGCAGGAAGGAUUGAGGUUGCUUGUAGGUUGCUUAGAAGCAUCCAAACGAAAAAUAUGGUCGUGACUCCACAUGCAUACAAUCCCGUCAUUCAAACAUUGUUUAGAAAACGGGGAACAGAUGCAGCAAUGGAAUUCUUUAGAGAAAUGGAGGAAAAGGGUUGUCCUCCUGAUGAGGUUUCAUAUAAGAUUGUUUCCAAAGGGCUUUGUUCCGGAGGAGGGCCAAUCGGGGCAGCUGUUGAUUUCGUAUUUGAGAUGACUGCAAAAGGUUUUACACCAGAAUUUUCUUCGAUCUAUAUGCUGGCUGAAGGGCUCUGUGCUCUGCAAAUGGAGGAUACUCUGGUUAAGCUGGUGGAUCAGAUCAUGAAAACAGCAAAGUUCUCAGAUAAUGAAGUGAAGAUGAUCAUGGGUUUCCUUAAAAUCCGCAAAUUUCAAGAUGCAUUGGCAACACUUGAUCGUUUUCUUGGUAUUCGGAAGCCGAAAAGAGGUUAUUGGUGAGGAGAUGCAAGUUUGAUCAAUAUCUAGUUUGGAAGGUUGGGAAAUGCUCUACUGCAAAAUGAGGUCUGUGGGAAAAUGUUACUAGCAACACCGUGAUGAGAUGAGUGCUAGAUAGUUGCACGAGAAAGAUUUAGUUUAUCGCUGAUGUCUUCCGCAUUCGGAGAUUGCGACAGUUAUUGGGUUAUAGUAGCACUCGUCACUUAUUCUUGAUCAAAAAAAUCUGAAAUUCUGUGAAGUAUUUUACAAUAUUAUUUUUGUCGGGUAAUACCCGGAUUCGGGUGAAGCGGUUGGUACCCAAUUAACUUCAACAUUGCUUCUGUAGGAUCAACGCAUCAAAUGCUAAUACUACUGCGAAACAAUUGAUCAUCGAUUCAUCAUUAAUCGAGGGUUUAUGGCCAAAAAGCGCCAUUGAAGAUCAAAUCAAGGUCUUCCUCUCUCUCUAUCAAUGUAUUUUACGUAUUUUUGUAUAAUCUGUCACUGUGAUUUGCAUCAUUUCUAUGUAAUCUGAAUUAGUUUAUGGAGUCACGUUUAAACGUUCGUUAUGAA